rnacentral:rRNA from 1 species
GACGAAUGCUGGCGGCGCGCUUAACACAUGCAAGUCGAGCGAUGAAAUCUUAACAGAACCCUUCGGGGUGAAGAUAAGCCGGAUUAGCGGCGGACGGGUGAGUAACACGUGAGUAACCUGCCUUUUACACAGGGAUAGCCUCAGGAAACCGGGAUUAAAACCUGAUGAAACUAUCAAAUCACAUGAUUAAGAAAGUUAAAACUCCGGUGGUAAAAGAUGGACUCGCGUCCCAUUAGCUAGUUGGUGAAGGUAACGGCCCACCAAGGCAACGAUGGGUAGCCGGCCUGAGAGGGUGAACGGCCACAUUGGAACUGAGAAAAGGUCCAAACUGCUACGGGAGGCAGCAGUGGGGAAUAUUGCACAAUGGGGGAAACCCUGAUGCAGCGACGCCGCGUGAGCGAAGAAGGCCUUCGGGUCGUAAAGAUCUUUUAUAUGGGAAGAUAAUGACGGUACCAUAAGAAAAAGCCCCGGCUAACUACGUG